CCUUUGCAGAUGGAUUGAAAGAAGCUUGUGGAGGGAGACAGUGCAGGCUUGCUGCCUCCCGGGCGGCUGCGGGCUGAGAACAAUGGCCCCUUCUGUGUGCAGUGCAACGGGGACAGACACGGUACACCCAGUCCCAGGCGAGUGCCCGCACUCAGGAUUGGAGGCAAGUCAGAGCCGUGGGGGCGGGGAGCAGGCUGGCAUUGACACUCCCGUUACGGAUUAUUUUGAUCUCAACUUUCAGCAUUUCUACCUCCCCCACAGGUAGGAGGCAGCAGAGAGGAAGUGGUCGGCCCAGGCUUUCCGGAGCCUUGGGGAAGCAAGCAGACCACAGGAUUUCCAAGGGGACAAGGGAUUCUCUUCUGCAGUGGGAGCAAGGCCCGUGCACCCGUGUGGAGUCAGACCCCAGGGAGUGCCCUCCGGGAGCUGUGUAUGCAACAUGCUUUACAUGAGCCACUGAGUAUCCUGUGUUUUGGGGUAAACAGAGCCUUCUUGAUGAUCUAACAUUCCGCCAGAAAUAGAAGCAGAGAACGCCCAGCUGAAGCUCAUAAUUUGAAGCUUUCAGGCAAGAGACGAGCGACCUCUGCUGGCCAUUCUUGGGUAAGCCACGGGCCCUCUUGCAGCUGAGUCUUAUCCAUUCCUCUAAUGAGGAGAAAAACCAACUCAUGGAAUCCAGUGUCCAGGAUCUGCUCCCAUAGGAGCAAAACUAUACCUGGAAGGCCAUAGAUGAUCUGAAAUAUUUAUGCAAGAAGAUUACCUCACAAGUAGACCCAUCAAAAGCAAUGUGCUCUUUGGCAAGACUUGAGGGGUGCAGGGAUGAUGUCCGUACCAGAAAAUUGCCAACACACCCAUUGCCCACGCUCUAUAUUUGAUUAGACCACGUCCAGGCGGGCCCGUGCGGAGGUUGUGGCUUUCCCUGAGCUGAAGAAUGGAUUUGACGGGGAGGAACAGAAGCCCUGAGGUGGGCUUACUGUGCCUUCAUUCACUGAUAAGACCACCUCCCCCCAUCCCCAGCUGGUGGUUUUAAUUGUCCUUUUUGCCUGGUGCCCGGGAGAGCGCACUACAGUCAGGUGAAAGAUACACAGAAGCAGGCUGUCCAGGUGACUCCUGUUACAUGUCUGCUCUAAUAUCCUCAGCUCAUUACUUACGUCCCGUAUGUGGUUCCAGAUGGCUGAUGUGCCGGCCAUCACACUCUUGGUCUAGACAGAAAGCUGGGUGAAGAGCAUAAAGUAUGUUCCCCCGUGGGGAGUGUCUCCCUUAAGGAGAUUUCCAGGGAGUCCCAUCCCAUGACUUUUAUGUGCAUCUCACUGGUUACAUCUACCUGCAAUCGAGGCUGAGAAAUGCUGGUUUGCAGUUGGACACAUUACUGCCUUGAAUGACAUCAAGGUUGUGUAACUAAAGAAAAAUGGAAGAAAGAAAAUUGAGUAAGCAAAUGAUCUCUACACACACGUCCAGCUGAACAAUCCUCAGGCCAGAUUUGAACAUCUGUCCUGGUUGAUGAACAAAGAUCAUCAUCGACAGCGGACACCCAGGGCUCCGAGAUGGCAUCAGUUGUAUUGGCCAAAGAGAAGAAACUCAUGGAUGUCAAAAUAGGGGAGCCGGUGAGCUAGAUACUGAUGUGGAAUUUCACUCUGAAGGCACAGUUGGAGCAUUUCAAAGAGGUAUGGCAAGAUGUGGGGCAAGUACCACCAAGAAGUAUUGCUGUUAUUAGGAGUCUGGUGUGAAGAAAUGAAACGUUGCUGAGGUCUCGACAGAGCUGGAGGCUUAUGUGCUUUAUUAUCUCCGGUUGACCCUUGAACAGCACAGGGGCUAGGGGCACCCACCCCCUGUGCAAUCAAAAAUCCAAGUGUAACUUUGGACUUCCACAGAACUUAGCUGCUAAUAGCCUACUGUGGACCAGAAGC